rnacentral:tRNA from 1 species
GAUGCCCCGGUAGCUCAGAGGUAGAGCUCCUGCAUAUAGCAAGCGAAGGCGGUAGGUCGCAGGUUCGAAUCCUGCCCGGUGGCUA